AUUUAAUAACUUUUUUUUUCUUGGUACAGGAAACUGAACUCAGGGGUGCUUAAGCUCUGAGGCACAUCCCCAGUCCUUUUUAUUUUUUAGCUAAAUUGCUGAGACUGGCUAUGACCUUGCAAUCCUCUGCUUCAGCUUCUUGAGUCACUGGGAUUGUAGGCAUGCACCACCAUGCCCAGCCUAAAACCAUCUUUUGAAGUAGUAGCUAUCAAGUCCAAACUCAACUUGUCUAAUGAAACUUUUUUAAAAUUUAACAACCAAGGUAGGAAAAGUUGAACAACAGCAUCCCACAAGCAAUAUCUUUAUCAUUAGAAUUUUGACUGAUUUUAAUAACAAUACACUGAAAAAGUCGGAGCAGGACAAAUAGAGGUCUAGAAUGUGAAGCAUAUUGCAAAAGAUAAAAAUUGCUAGUGGAGUCAGAUAGGCAAGAUAUUUCUCUUUAAUGCAAGCAAGGGAUACAAAGGAAGAAUAAGUUUGAAAAAUGCAACAGCGGACCUAGCAUGGGCGGGACCCAGGUUUGAUCCUCAGCACCACAUAAAGAUGAGUGCAUUGUGUUGUGUCCAUCUACACUUAUAAAAAAUAAAUAUUAAAAAAAUGUUUAAAAAAAAAGAAAAUAAUACAGUCUUAAGUAAUGGGGACAGUCUUGAGUAAUGGAUCUGAGACAAUUAUUUUUGUCCAUUUUUUUUUUUAAAUAAGAAACUUCUAUCAGAAAGUACAGUAUAUUCCACAACCAGCUUUUGAGAAUUCAAGCUGAAUUCAGGGAAGAUUGGAUUCUGAAUAAGUUAGUUUCUGGAACAACUAUUUGUCCUGUCAUAACAUCCAUUGAUAUACAGCUACCUGUCCAUUUUAAUAAAGCACACUACAUAACGUUUUUCCUCAGUUAAAAUAAAGAAAUUUCUAGAAAAAUAUUAUUUAACCUUUAGGGUAUUUUUGUGAACAAGUUGGAAGAAUUUUGAAUUUCUCAGAUAUAUUAUAAUUCCAAAUAAUCAUUGCUCAAUUAAAAAUCAACCUAAUAUAAAACUUUUUAUUUCUGGAAUUUUUUUUCUGUUUUUUUUUUCUUUUAUUGGUGCAUUAUAAUUACACAUAAUAGUGAGAUUCAUUAUGC
rnacentral:lncRNA from 1 species